GGUGAAUCACACACGUGAGGGAGGAGGAUGUGCAGGUGAUAUGGAAAGGAUUCCCUGAAAGAGAAGGAACUUUGUCAAAGCCUCUGGCAUCAAAGCUCCAGAAA